CGAAGGGGGCUAGCGUUGUUCGGAAUUACUGGGCGUAAAGCGCGCGUAGGCGGUGAUCUUUGUCAGAGGUGAAAGCCCGGGGCUCAACUCCGGAAUUGCCUUUGAAACGGGAUUGCUUGAGUCCGAGAGAGGAUGGCGGAAUUCCUAGUGUAGAGGUGAAAUUCGUAGAUAUUAGGAAGAACACCGGUGGCGAAGGCGGCCAUCUGGCUCGGUACUGACGCUCAGGCGCGAAAGCGUGGGGAGCAAACAGGAUUAGAUACCCUGGUAGUCCACGCCGUAAACUAUGAAUGCUAGUUGUUAGGAAGUUUACUUCUUAGUGACGCGGCUAACGCGUUAAGCAUUCCGCCUGGGGAGUACGGUCGCAAGAUUAA
rnacentral:rRNA from 1 species